CCCCUAGAUGUUCUGGGCCGCACGCGCGCUCCACUGAACAGUUCAACAAGUCUUAACCUUGGCCGAUAGGUCUGGGUAAUCUUUGAACGCUGUUCGUGAUUGGGAUAGACCUUUGCAAUUAUGGGUCUUCAACGAGGAAUUCCUAGUAAACGCAAGUCAUCAGCUUGCAUUGAUUACGUCCCUGCCCUUUGUACACACCGCCCGUCGCACCUACCGAUUGAAUGGUCCGGUGAAAUCUCGGGACGGCGGCUUGGUCGCUUGCGUCCGACUGCUGAAACUUGAUUAAACCAUAUCAUUUAGAGGAAGGUGAAGUCGUAACA
rnacentral:rRNA from 1 species